rnacentral:rRNA from 2 species
UGGAUCCAGACUUUGAUUCUGGCUCAGGAUGAACGCUAGCUACAGGCUUAACACAUGCAAGUCGAGGGGAAACGAUAUUGGAAGCUUGCUUCCGAUAGGCGUCGACCGGCGCACGGGUGAGUAACGCGUAUCCAACCUGCCCACCACUUGGGGAUAACCUUGCGAAAGUAAGACUAAUACCCAAUGACGUCUCUAGAAGACAUCUGAAGGAGAUUAAAGAUUUAUCGGUGAUGGAUGGGGAUGCGUCUGAUUAGCUUGUUGGCGGGGUAACGGCCCACCAAGGCGACGAUCAGUAGGGGUUCUGAGAGGAAGGUCCCCCACAUUGGAACUGAGACACGGUCCAAACUCCUACGGGAGGCAGCAGUGAGGAAUAUUGGUCGAUGGACGAGAGUCUGAACCAGCCAAGUAGCGUGCAGGAUGACGGCCCUAUGGGUUGUAAACUGCUUUUAUAAGGGAAUAAAGUGAGUCCCGUGAGACUUUUUGCAUGUACCUUAUGAAUAAGGACCGGCUAAUUCCGUGCCAGCAGCCGCGGUAAUACGGAAGGUCCGGGCGUUAUCCGGAUUUAUUGGGUUUAAAGGGAGCGUAGGCCGGAGAUUAAGCGUGUUGUGAAAUGUAGACGCUCAACGUCUGCACUGCAGCGCGAACUGGUUUCCUUGAGUACGCACAAAGUGGGCGGAAUUCGUGGUGUAGCGGUGAAAUGCUUAGAUAUCACGAAGAACUCCGAUUGCGAAGGCAGCUCACUGGAGCGCAACUGACGCUGAAGCUCGAAAGUGCGGGUACCGAACAGGAUUAGAUACCCUGGUAGUCCGCACGGUAAACGAUGGAUGCCCGCUGUUGGUCUGAAUAGGUCAGCGGCCAAGCGAAAGCGUUAAGCAUCCCACCUGGGGAGUACGCCGGCAACGGUGCAAC